rnacentral:rRNA from 1 species
GUGAGGAAUUUUCCGCAAUGGGCGAAAGCCUGACGGAGCAAUGCCGCGUGAAGGAUGAAGGCCUAUGGGUUGUAAACUUCUUUUCUCAGAAAAGAAUUAUGACGGUAUCUGAGGAAUAAGCAUCGGCUAACUCUGUGCCAGCAGCCGCGGUAAGACAGAGGAUGCAAGCGUUAUCCGGAAUGAUUGGGCGUAAAGCGUCUGUAGGUUGUUUAAAAAGUAUUCUGUCAAAGAUUAGGGCUUAACCCUAGAUAGGCAGAAUAAACUUUUAAGCUAGAGUUUGGUAGAGGCAGAGGGAAUUCCCGGUGGAGCGGUGAAAUGCGUAGAUAUCGGGAGGAACACCAAAGGCGAAGGCACUCUGCUGGGCCAAUACUAACACUGAGAGACGAAAGCGAGGGGAGCAAAUGGGAUUAGAAACCUCGGUAGUCC